rnacentral:rRNA from 1 species
GCAAACUGCGAAUACCGGAGAAUGUUAUCACGGGAGACACACGGCGGGUGCUAACGUCCGUCGUGAAGAGGGAAACAACCCAGACCGCCAGCUAAGGUCCCAAAGUCAUGGUUAAGUGGGAAACGAUGUGGGAAGGCCCAGACAGCCAGGAUGUUGGCUUAGAAGCAGCCAUCAUUUAAAGAAAGCGUAAUAGCUCACUGGUCGAGUCGGCCUGCGCGGAAGAUGUAACGGGGCUAAACCAUGCACCGAAGCUGCGGCAGCGACGCUUAUGCGUUGUUGGGUAGGGGAGCGUUCUGUAAGCCUGCGAAGGUGUGCUGUGAGGCAUGCUGGAGGUAUCAGAAGUGCGAAUGCUGACAUAAGUAACGAUAAAGCGGGUGAAAAGCCCGCUCGCCGGAAGACCAAGGGUUCCUGUCCAACGUUAAUCGGGGCAGGGUGAGUCGACCCCUAAGGCGAGGCCGAAAGGCGUAGUCGAUGGGAAACAGGUUAAUAUUCCUGUACUUGGUGUUACUGCGAAGGGGGGACGGAGAAGGCUAUGUUGGCCGGGCGACGGUUGUCCCGGUUUAAGCGUGUAGGCUGGUUUUCCAGGCAAAUCCGGAAAAUCAAGGCUGAGGCGUGAUGACGAGGCACUACGGUGCUGAAGCAACAAAUGCCCUGCUUCCAGGAAAAGCCUCUAAGCAUCAGGUAACAUCAAAUCGUACCCCAAACCGACACAGGUGGUCAGGUAGAGAAUACCAAGGCGCUUGAGAGAACUCGGGUGAAGGAACUAGGCAAAAUGGUGCCGUAACUUCGGGAGAAGGCACGCUGAUAUGUAGGUGAAGCGACUUGCUCGUGGAGCUGAAAUCAGUCGAAGAUACCAGCUGGCUGCAACUGUUUAUUAAAAACACAGCACUGUGCAAACACGAAAGUGGACGUAUACGGUGUGACGCCUGCCCGGUGCCGGAAGGUUAAUUGAUGGGGUUAGCGGUAACGCGAAGCUCUUGAUCGAAGCCCCGGUAAACGGCGGCCGUAACUAUAACGGUCCUAAGGUAGCGAAAUUCCUUGUCGGGUAAGUUCCGACCUGCACGAAUGGCGUAAUGAUGGCCAGGCUGUCUCCACCCGAGACUCAGUGAAAUUGAACUCGCUGUGAAGAUGCAGUGUACCCGCGGCAAGACGGAAAGACCCCGUGAACCUUUACUAUAGCUUGACACUGAACAUUGAGCCUUGAUGUGUAGGAUAGGUGGGAGGCUUUGAAGUGUGGACGCCAGUCUGCAUGGAGCCGACCUUGAAAUACCACCCUUUAAUGUUUGAUGUUCUAACGUUGGCCCCUAAUCGGGGUUGCGGACAGUGUCUGGUGGGUAGUUUGACUGGGGCGGUCUCCUCCUAAAGAGUAACGGAGGAGCACGAAGGUUGGCUAAUCCUGGUCGGACAUCAGGAGGUUAGUGCAAUGGCAUAAGCCAGCUUGACUGCGAGCGUGACGGCGCGAGCAGGUGCGAAAGCAGGUCAUAGUGAUCCGGUGGUUCUGAAUGGAAGGGCCAUCGCUCAACGGAUAAAAGGUACUCCGGGGAUAACAGGCUGAUACCGCCCAAGAGUUCAUAUCGACGGCGGUGUUUGGCACCUCGAUGUCGGCUCAUCACAUCCUGGGGCUGAAGUAGGUCCCAAGGGUAUGGCUGUUCGCCAUUUAAAGUGGUACGCGAGCUGGGUUUAGAACGUCGUGAGACAGUUCGGUCCCUAUCUGCCGUGGGCGCUGGAGAACUGAGGGGGGCUGCUCCUAGUACGAGAGGACCGGAGUGGACGCAUCACUGGUGUUCGGGUUGUCAUGCCAAUGGCACUGCCCGGUAGCUAAAUGCGGAAGAGAUAAGUGCUGAAAGCAUCUAAGCACGAAACUUGCCCCGAGAUGAGUUCUCCCUGACUCCUUGAGAGUCCUGAAGGAACGUUGAAGACGACGACGUUGAUAGGCCGGGUGUGUAAGCGCAGCGAUGCGUUGAGCUAACCGGUACUAAUGAACCGUGAGGCUUAACCUUACAACGCCGAAGCUGUU